rnacentral:rRNA from 1 species
CGCGAGCUGGGUUCAGAACGUCGUGAGACAGUUCGGUCCCUAUCUACCGUGGGCGCUGGAAAUUUGAGAGGAUCUGCUCCUAGUACGAGAGGACCGGAGUGGACGAACCUCUGGUGUACCGGUUGUGACGCCAGUCGCAUCGCCGGGUAGCUAUGUUCGGAAGCGAUAACCGCUGAAAGCAUCUAAGCGGGAAGCCUACCUCAAGAUAAGAUUUCCCUGUGACUAUAUGUCACCUAAAGA